UACCAGCACCCCGAGUGGUCGGGACGUUUAUUGGGCGUAAAGAGCUCGUAGGCGGCUUGUCGCGUCGACUGUGAAAUCCCGAGGCUCAACUUCGGGCUUGCAGUCGAUACGGGCAGGCUAGAGUUCGGUAGGGGAGACUGGAAUUCCUGGUGUAGCGGUGAAAUGCGCAGAUAUCAGGAGGAACACCGAUGGCGAAGGCAGGUCUCUGGGCCGAUACUGACGCUGAGGAGCGAAAGCGUGGGGAGCGAACAGG
rnacentral:rRNA from 1 species